rnacentral:sRNA from 1 species
GUCGGGCACGGUGGCGCACACCUGUAAUCCCAGCAGCUCAGGAGGCUGAGGCAGGAGAAUCGUGAGUUCAAAGCCAGACUCAACAACAGCAAGGCACUAAGCAACUCAGUGAGACCCUGUCUCUA